rnacentral:misc_RNA from 1 species
CACAUUUUAAAUUUUGUCAGAUGGCAGCACUAUUCAUUCGAAAUGUUAUAGAUGAAAGAAUUUUAUUCUAUUUUACUGAAUAAGAAAAAUGGAUGGAACAUUGAUUUACCAAGUUAAAAUUUUUCUACUGAUUUGGUUUGGAUUCAUAAAAUGGACAUCAUCGUGGGAUAGAGGCUGCGGUGAGUUAUUUCGAACUACAUAUCCCUGCUUAAUGCUACAUAAGGGAUGUAAAUUAAUCCAAAGUACUAGGCAAGAUAAAGAUUGGUGUCGCAACAACAAUGGAGGAUGCCAACAUUUAUGUGAAAAUCACAUGUUUGGACCAAAAUGCAAGUGCAGAAAAGGAUAUCAAUUAGGAUCAGACGGAAAAUCGUGCAAUGAUAUUAACGAAUGCUUACUCGCUGAUACAUGUCCUCGGUAUACAAAGGCCCUUUGUAUCAACUUACCUGGUAGUUACAUUUGUAAAUGUCCGAAAAAUUUAAAUAUGUUAGGUGAAACAGCAGUAAUUAAUGACAAAAAAGAGAUUUUUAUCAAAUGUGUAGCUCGCUAUUGGUGUAAUGAAAUCUGCCAUCAUUAUUGUACUAUUUCUGGAAAAUCACCGUAUAAAUGCCAAUGCUUCGAUUAUUAUCGUUUACAAAAUAGCACUUGUGUUCCUAGUUGCGGUGUUAACGAUGGAGAAUGUCAAAAAUAUUGUUAUAAUACUCCGACCGGAACAACAUGUAAAUGUGAUAAAGGAGAACAACUGGCAGCAGAUGGAAAAACAUGCAAAGGUGCUCCUUCAGAAGAAGCAUUUAAUGCUCAAAUUAACGUCACAGUUGAAUGCAAUAUACCGAAUACAGGUGAGAGAUAUCCGGAGACAUUGGUACUUAUUUACAAUACAGAACGUUUAAGACUUAAAGGUGAAGUAUGCCUAACGUAUGAACUCGAAGUGAAGCCAAAAGAAAAAUAUCGAGCCCUUCAAUAUUAUGUAGAGGCAUUCGAAAAUCCUCCUUUUAUAUCUCGUGAAGACAAAGUUAUUGUAACAAAUGCAAAAAAAUUAUACGAAAGAAGAAUUACAAUUCAAAAUAUAGAGAAAAAAUUUGCAAUCCGUAUAAAAGCAGAAAUAAAUGUCAAUGUGGUAUCUUAUUUAAGGAAUAUUACUUUAUAUCCAGGAAACUGCAGAAGCGGAGGAAAACAUGCCAGAUAGGAAAAUCGGUCGAGAUGAUUACAUAUCGACCAGAUUCGUGAUUAGGCUGAAAAUGUGGAAAAGCGAGAUGGUUUUUUAAAGGAAAAGAAACUGAAAUCAAUGAAGCGUCGGUGGUACAGAGACACCUAUGCACGAGGUUAGAAGAGGUAAAGUCUCCAACCCAGAGUUAGAAUUGCCUACAAUGGAGGACCAGCUGUCGAACGAAACUGCAGACGACAACCAGAACCGACGUGAACGCCAUCUCUUUAUACCAUCUGUUCUGGUCAACAUGGAUUUCAUUAAAGUCGCCUUAAAUUUCGAUAUGAAAAAAAUGAGAUUCGAGUGGAAAUGCGGUUCGAAGAAUUUGGUCGACUCAGAUUUGGAAACUAACAAGUAAGUUUUGAUUGAUAAGCUUUCACUGUUUAAACUCAUUUUAAUAAUAUUAAAAAAAUGUUAUAAUGAUAUCGAUUCUAUAUGAGCACACCGUUAUGUUUACUUUUACUCUCUUCGUGUGUGUGUCUUUUCUCUGCAAGUCUUCCUAUUUUAUGCAACUCUUUUCUACUUAAAAGUUACUUAUAUAUAUAAAAUAAUCCAAAAAUUUUAUAUUUUUACUAAUGAAAGUCUUUAGUUAUAAAAGCUUCUAAUUUUCUUAUUGUAAUAAGAAUGGUUUCUUCUGUCAUUUUUACUAUCACUUCUCCUCUGCCACGUUGCACUUAGUAACACUAAGUCAGAUUUCUUUUCUGAAGUACAAAGAUGCAGAAAAUAACUCUGGAUCAAUAAGCAGUGGCGCCAAAGCUAGUGGGUGACCUCCUUUUACUUUAGUAGAGAUGACACUAGCCGAAAAUUUUGGAUGUAUAAUUGUAUAAAAGAAGCUUUUCUCCACAUUUUCAUCAUGAUACGACAAAACGACAAUAUCGAUCGUGUUGCUCAUACAUCAAUUCGACGAUUUUUGUGCUAUAAUAAAAGAAUCCAAAUAUAAUAUUGCAACGAUUUAAUACGAUACUGAUAAUGUAUACCAAGUUCGACUUACUUUAAUUUCUUGUGAUUAAAAAAUUGAUCUUUUACCACUUUUAAAUGCAAUUUAAAAAUUUCUUGGAAAUUGGCUCCUUGCCCGUUAAGGCCGCACGGUACCGGUUGUGCUUUCAUGACGAUACAUUCUAUUUCCAUAAUUCAAAAAAAGAAAUUCCUUUCCCCAGUAACUCCAUGGAUAUUUUAAAAGUUAUUAAAAUUUCAACCAUAGGAGAAAGUAAAGCUACCCAGAGCAUAUGGCGGAUAGAAGUUUUUAUAACUUUUUAAAUGAGUUAAAAUCCAUUAAGCGGAUCACAAAUUCUUUUCUUUUGCGAUAAACAACUUACCCUGCCAUCUAUGAUUGAAAUAGAAAGCAACGUUGAGAGAACUAAGUGAAUAAAAUAAGGAUGAAAACUAUCUUCUUUCCAUUUAUCAUCUCUGCAAACCAUCCGCAUUAUUCUAAUCUCCUCUAUAGCGAUGGCUAACUCGUCCUAGAAAAAAAAGCUCGGCGACGCAAAGAAAAUAGUUUCGAGGUCACGUGAUUUCUCCCACGUGGUACUCGAUCGAAGUACUUUAUCGAUCUAAUGACUCCUCUAAAUAUUUCCAGUUACUUCAACUACAUUAAACUUGUAAUUAUCAUUAAGAUAGAAAGAAGCGAUCUUUAAUAAGAAUACAAUAGUAAUUAUGUUUUAAGAAUGUUUCAUUUCCGUACGGAGAGAACCUAUUUCCUGAAAUUUAUAAAUCCUGGAAAAAAUGACAUUUAAGAAUUUAUGUUUAUUUGCAAGAAAAUUGAAAUCAGGUGUAGUUGUUGGUCUGCAGGUAAGCGAUCGAAUGUUUGAAAGGGCGGUAUCAACGGGACAUCAGACCCAAACCGUUAUUCUAAUGGCCUAGUUUUCCCGCCAUGCACCAUGAGACAAAAUUGACAAACGACUGCAACCAGUUCAGUAAAGUCGGCUUGCAUGAGGAGUGCUGCUCGCUUUAGCGUCAGAACAUGAUCAUUACUGUAGCGGAAAGUAUCGAAAAUUUUAUCGGGUAAGAGUAAAAUCUUUUUCAUUUUUAAUGAAAUUUUAAAUUUAUAUACCUGUUAAUCAUACUUUGCAGUAUUUUCGCCAAGUGUUAUUAUUAUUUUAAAAAUUCUAUAAAGUAAACGAAACUUAAUCACUUCUCUGCAUAACAAUUAACUAUGCGGGAAAGUAAGACGUA